ACCUUGUUCUUCAGCUUGUUUUGGAUCCAGGGAUCAGUCGAGGCCAAAAGAAUUAAUGUUUCUUGUAGCUGCAUUGAAACAAAGGCCCUGUGGCUGGCUCACUUCAGGCCAGUGCUGGGAGGGGAGGGGGAGCUCUGUCUACAGGCCCUUCUGGUCCCAGGGAAUGAGGUCAAGGGGACAGUGUCUACGGGCGUAUUCCCCUCUCCUCCCCUCUGACAAAGAGCACGUGGCGUGAGGAUAGGUGGGAGAGGCUUGGAGGAAGGGUUGAGAAGAGGUGGGCGGGGAUGCCUUACGCUCUUUUUCACAGACGGGCUCUUUUCCACAUCCAGCAUGUCUAGGACCAGGUGGAACACUUGUGGGCUGCGGAUCCCCAGGACACCCUGGCAGAGGCAGGAUGAGGGCGCCUAAAUAGCCGGCCCCAGGAAGUUGCCCUGUCUACACUCUUCCAUUCUAGUGCCCUUGUAAUGACCCUGUGCCUGGAGAGGAGAUAUGGCUUCGCAGCAGAGUAACUGCUGGACUGCCUGCUCCCCCUGCCAUCAAAACAUCUGGUCAGAGUAGCAGAGCUGGCCUUACCAAAGAGAUGACUGCUUCCUGGCGUGCAGUGGCAUUUGAGCUCAUCAGUUGCCUGGAGAAGGGACCUAGGAUUUGGCCCUGGCAGUUCCCAGCCCAAGCCACUCACGCCUCCACCAAGUUCAUCAUUGUGGGCUUCAUCUUGAGCUCUUCCACAGUUUCAGCAACAGCCUGCCUCAUAGCCUGAAGAGGGAUUAAGAAAGGAAAGUACUUUUCUGGAUAUCAAAUACGCUGAGUUGGGACACGAGCUGAGGACAGAGCUGAGGGAACCACAGACGACCAACCUCAUCCCCAUCUUUAAAUCCCAGUGAACGAUUCUGCUGUGUGAACGCCUGCCCGUCUGACUCACCACACUGGCGGUCGAGAGGAUCAAGGGAAGUGAUGACAGUGGAUGUGCUUAGGAGACCGUCAGGCUCCCUGGCAGGAUUGGGAGGACGGUCCCCUGCCGUUGUGAGAGGGCUUGUGGGAUCUUAGUUCCCUGAACUGGGCCCCAGGCAGUAGAAGUGCAGAGUCCUAACCACUGGACCACCAGGGAAUUCCCUCCCUCACGUUCUCUUGUAGGGAAUAUGCAUCCCACAAAGGUAACCACUAUUUGAUGUCUAUGACUGUUUUGACUGUCCUUGAAUUUCAUGUAAAUGGACACCUAGUAUUUACUCUUAUGGGUCUGACUCUUUUACUCCAAAUCACGUCUGUGAAAUCCAUUCGUAUUGCAUUUAUCAGUGGUUUGCUGUGUAGUAUCCCGUUGUAUGGAUGCACCACAAUUACUAGGGCUGGACACAAGGUUCUCUGAAUUCAGGUUUCCCUCCAACCUCUGGUCUGAAGGGAGGAUUUCAUGACACACUGCUCUCUGGUUGUUUGUCUUGAGCUCUCACUCUCUACUCCUCUGCCACUCCUCUUGGGGUGGAAGGGGCAGGGUUUCCAGGUUCUCCGCCUGUCUCUACAUCAUGCCUUCCUCCUUCUGAGGAGGCACUGGCCCUGCCUUCUUUCUUGGGCAGGGAGAGAAACUGGUUUACCAAGGAGGAGAUCCAGCAAGGUGAUACCUGCUGCUGAGCUGGUGCGGGACUCCUGACUGGGGAGGGAGAUUGGGGAGGGAGAAAACAGGCCAAAGGAGCGGAAGGAAAUCUUGGCAGUGGAGUGGGGGGUCCUGGACUUCCACAAGGCUGUGGCAUUGGGGUUGCACCAAGUUUAAUCAGCUCUCCCAGCGACUGGGGACCUCGAGCUGGAGUCUUUUUGCGUACAAGGAUGCCCAAGGACAGGGGUCACCUUGGUUCCUAGCCUGUCAAAGCAGGGCAAGGAGGAUGACUCAGAAAGGACUUGGAAAAGGCUGGCAGGACUGAGCUGGGGAAGCGGGCUACGGCUGCUGGAUGGGAGAACAGGUCUUCACUUGGGAGAUCCCUGUCCCCAGGAGGCCCUAGCCAAAGGCUAGGAUGGCCUUCUGGGGGCAUUAGAGAGCUUCUGAGCAGACGACCAUUUCUGGACCCCAGUGAGCUGGUUACAUUUUAAUUUAUUACGAUGUGUCAAAGCUCCAGCAGCUCCAGAGGGGAGCUGGCUGAGUGUCAACACUGGGUGUAUCCACUGCGCAUGCUGGUCUCCUUCUCACCCCUGUGCUCCAGCCACACUGUCCCCUGGGCCAAGCUGGCUCCUGCCUAGGGCUGUUGCACUGGUUAUGCCUUCUGCCUGGAAAGUUUUCUUCCCAUCAGUCCUCACAUGGCUGAUUUGCUCUGGUCAUUUAGCUCUCAAGGAGCAUGUCACCCCCAAAGUAAGGCCUUUCCUCACCACCUCACCUAAAGUAGCCAUCCAGUCAUGUCCCUGGAUCUUGAGAGCUGCUUGGGGGUCUUUCCACUUCUCCAGUUCUUACAGUCUAGGGGAAUCCAAAGCUUUCACAAGACUUCCGUGAAUCCCCAGUGGCUUACUUCACAUUUUCCAAUCUCUGGUCUAGAGGUGCUGGCCCUGUCUCACAUCUCUGGCUUUCAAAGGCAAAACAGUCACUUUUCUUGGUUCACGCAGAGCAAUUUCACCCCUUCCCCUGAAAUCUUGGUCCCAGUCUAUGUCCUGGGAGAGGUUCCUGCCUUCACUGGGAUUACAGACACAUUUUCUAAACAAUGGUUGUUUCCUGCACGAGAGGGAUUCUUGUUCUAUCUGCUAAAAGACUAACAGCAUUUUACUGUCAGGGUAAGAGGCAGAGUUGGGAUCUGAACCUGGAUUUGUCUGCUGAGUGUGGAGCCAGUGCUUUUAAACCGUUGCAUCAACUGUGUCCCCCAUAUCCUCAUUGAGGCUGCUGGUGACUUUCAGUAGUUACUCACAUACAGGUGCAGGCACACGUGUAUUUUCUACAGGGGAAAUGCUUGCUCAUCUGGCCCGUCUCAGGAGGCUGCUCCGAAGGCCGAAUAGCAUUUCUUACAGGCCAGCCAGAGCUAGCCGCAGGACAUCUGGUUGUCCCAUGCAAAUCCUCACUUGCACUAGAUGGAUGCCCGAGAGGGGGCGUGCGGCCAGACCUCUCGGUGCCAGGUAAGAUGCUCUUUGUACUGCCCAGAGCUGCUUCCUCACUUUCUUCCCUUCCUGUCCCACGCACUGGUUCCUCAUGUUGCUGUGUGUGGCCUUCACCCCUUACUACCCCUUUCUCUGACAAAGGAGUGGAAACCCCUCUAUUCCAGGCCUUAUUGUUCACCCCCUUCCAGUCGAUCGCCUUCAUCCACAAGGCUGACAGUCAUGUAAGCUGUCUGGACAUAGGUUAAUGUGGGUGAGGUCUUCAAUGUAGGGUGAUCAGGGCUGGGAGACCCCUAUGUGUCAGAAUGAGGAGGUCCUUCCUGUGUGUGUGUCUGUGUUCAUGCACGCGAAUGUUUAAAGCCAGGCAUUUAUCUACCUUGAAAAGCCUAGGAAUAGCCCUCUUUAAAAACAAUUGAGGGACUUCCCUGGUGGUCCGGUGGUUGAGACUCUGUGCUUCCACUGCAGGGGGCACAGCUUCGAUCCCUGGUGGGAACUAAGAUCCCACAUUCAGAGCGGAGCGGCCAAAAAAUAAAAACAAACAAAAAAACCCAACAAAAGACAAUUGAAUGCACCUGAGAUAAGUACUUUUGGUCCUGAACUAUUAGGAGUUUCUGGCAAGCUUUAUAUU